CUACAAACGGUUAAACGUUCCUAUUUGUCUAGUCACCCCUCUCCCCGUAGAGUAGAACAAACACGGGAAGAUGUGUCACGGCCGAGGCAUCAUUUUCCUAAUACUUUUAUUUUGUUUUAUAGUGUCCUUUUUUUUCUAUUAUAUGUAUAUCGUUCUAUACGGGAAAUACCGGGAUGAACUAGAAAGAUACUACAUGCCGUAGGAUUUUAACAUGUUGAAAGUAUUAGCUUCUUGAUGUCAAUCAAAAUGUUGAUCUUUCAAUAAAACUUACAGCAAUGUAACGAACCCAACAAUUAAAAA